CAGUCGCCGCGGGAAUACGUAGGGUGCGAGCGUUAAUCGGAAUUACUGGGCGUAAAGCGUGCGCAGGCGGUCUUGUAAGACAGGCGUGAAAUCCCCGGGCUCAACCUGGGAAUGGCGCUUGUGACUGCAAAGCUAGAGUGCGGCAGAGGGGGAUGGAAUUCCGCGUGUAGCAGUGAAAUGCGUAGAUAUGCGGAGGAACACCGAUGGCGAAGGCAAUCCCCUGGGCCUGCACUGACGCUCAUGCACGAAAGCGUGGGGAGCAAACAGGAUUAGAUACCCCUGUAGUCCCUGUCUCUUAUAU
rnacentral:rRNA from 1 species